UACGUAGGUGGCGAGCGUUGUCCGGAUUUACUGGGCGUAAAGCGCGCGCAGGCGGUUCUGUAAGUCCUGGGUGAAAUCGCCCGGCUCAACUGGGCGGGGGCCUGGGGGACUGCGGGACUGGAGGGGCCUAGAGGCCGGUGGAACUCCCGGUGUAGUGGUGAAAUGCGUAGAGAUCGGGAAGAACACCAGUGGCGAAGGCGGCCGGCUGGGGGCGCCCUGACGCUGAGGCGCGAGAGCGUGGGAGCGAACCGG
rnacentral:rRNA from 1 species